rnacentral:lncRNA from 1 species
CUACCUCAUCCCCAUAUUGUUUUAAUUUACUUUUCUGCUCUUUUGCACACCAGUAUUUCUACUUUCACAUCAUCAUCUGCUAUUUAGCACUUCAGUGUUCAUUUGCUAAAUUUGUGUGAACGGGCCUGUGCUCCGUAGCGUCUUGGUGUUUCUGCUGUUGGGUGUCUCCUACACUAAGCGCAGGUGCAACUAUUCGGAGAUACUCGGCUCAUACAGAGAACUCAUCUUCGUUGAACUUCAGAAUUUGAAUCUGACUGGCAAUUUUGACACAUCCAAAGAGAGGGACCGUUGUCCCUCAGGAAAGGUGCAGCACGUUUUGCGCUCCAUCCAUGGUAUGACUCAGCAGUUCCUGUGCCAGGGCCGCAGGCAGGGCAUUAGACAACAGGGGGGCAUGGAGAAGCCAGUGGAGAUGAUGGAACAGCUGAUCAGACAGAACUGCAAACACACUGACCUGGUGAGAAGACAGAAGAGAGCUGCCCCGUGUGUGACUUCCCAGAGAACGAAGGGAAAGAAGAAGAAGAGGAUAAGACUCAUCAGAGCACUGAUAGACUGUUGGCAGAAGCUGCAGAGUGUGUACUUGCCCACAAAAUGAAUGGGAAAUACUAUGUUUUUCAUUUUCCCAAUUGUUUAAAAAAGAGCCUGUAUGGAUUGUGUUUAAUUUGGUUCUCAUUUUGUAUAGUAGAACCACAUUUGUAUGUCAGGGAUGGUGCUCUCUGUUUAUGGCCUUUCUUCUUAUACUGUAGUUCCUCAUCUAUAAACUACAGCGCACAAUAGAUCAUCUGAAUUAAAGGUAGACUCAGCGAUAUGACGUAGAUGCAGAAAGUAAACAGCGUGAAGCAAACCCGUGCACAUGGACAGAUACUGUGUCUGACAGCGUGAGAGCGAAAUGCUGCAUCUCUCAUCUCAAUAUCUCCGGUGUUGCUCGAGGCGAUGACAUUUUGCUGACUCUACCUUUAAUAAUGGUUGUUAGAGGAUGGUAUACAAUGCAAUUAAAAUAUUUACUUGUAAUAGUUUGUGCACACACAUAAAAAAUAUAUUAUCUCAUAAUCCAGAGAUUGCGAUCCUUUUUCUUAAACAUAUUUGGUGCUGUUCUAUAAAAUUAAUCAGUUAUUCAAGCUGCCCACAGCUAAUAAAGGUUUCUCAAACUGCA